rnacentral:rRNA from 1 species
AUUGAACGCUGGCGGCAGGCCUAACACAUGCAAGUCGAACGGUAACAGGAAGAAGCUUGCUUCUUUGCUGACGAGUGGCGGACGGGUGAGUAAUGUCUGGGAAACUGCCUGAUGGAGGGGGAUAACUACUGGAAACGGUAGCUAAUACCGCAUAACGUCGCAAGACCAAAGAGGGGGACCUUCGGGCCUCUUGCCAUCGGAUGUGCCCAGAUGGGAUCAGCUAGUAGGUGGGGUAACGGCUCACCUAGGCGACGAUCCCUAGCUGGUCUGAGAGGAUGACCAGCCACACUGGAACUGAGACACGGUCCAGACUCCUACGGGAGGCAGCAGUGGGGAAUAUUGCACAAUGGGCGCAAGCCUGAUGCAGCCAUGCCGCGUGUAUGAAGAAGGCCUUCGGGUUGUAAAGUACUUUCAGCGGGGAGGAAGGGAGUAAAGUUAAUACCUUUGCUCAUUGACGUUACCCGCAGAAGAAGCACCGGCUAACUCCGUG